UUCCGGUGGAUCCUGCCGGAGGUUACUGCUAUCGAGGUUCGACUAAGCCAUGCGAGUCGAAUGCCGCAAGGCAUGGCGUACUGCUCAGUAACACGUGGACAACCUACCCUUAGGUCGGGGAUAACCCCGGGAAACUGGGUAUAAUACCCGAUAGUCCUCGAAUGCUGGAAUGCACCGAGGACGAAAGCUCCGGUGCCUAAGGAUGGGUCUGCGGCCUAUCAGGUAGUAGUGGGUGUAGCGUACCUACUAGCCUACGACGGGUACGGGUUGUGAGAGCAAGAGCCCGGAGAUGGAUUCUGAGACACGAAUCCAGGCCCUACGGGGUGCAGCAGGCGCGAAAACUUUACAAUGCUGGCAACAGCGAUAAGGGAACCUCGAGUGCCAGGUUACAAAUCUGGCUGUCGAGAUGCCUAAAAAGCAUUUCAUAGCAAGGGCCGGGCAAGACCGGUGCCAGCCGCCGCGGUAACACCGGCGGCUCGAGUGGUAACCGUUAUUAUUGGGUCUAAAGGGUCUGUAGCCGGCCGGAUAAGUCUCUUGGGAAAUCUGGCAGCUCAACUGUCACGCUAUCAGAGAUACUGUCUGGCUCGAGGCCGGGAGAGGUGAGAGGUACUUCAGGGUAGGGGUGAAAUCUUGUAAUCCUUGAAGGACCACCAGUGGCGAAGGCGUCUCACCAGAACGGACCUGACGGCAAGGGACGAAAGCUAGGGGCACGAACCGGAUUAGAUACCCGGGUAGUCCUAGCCGUAAACGAUACUCGCUAGGUGUCGGCCACGGUGCGACCGUGGUCGGUGCCGUAGGGAAGCCGUGAAGCGAGCCACCUGGGAAGUACGGCCGCAAGGCUGAAACUUAAAGGAAUUGGCGGG
rnacentral:rRNA from 1 species